GACGAACGCUGGCGGCGUGCCUAAUACAUGCAAGUCGAGCGGAUCGACCAGGAGCUUGCUCUUGUUCGGUUAGCGGCGGACGGGUGAGUAACACGUGGGUAACCUGCCCGUAAGACCGGGAUAACUCCGGGAAACCGGAGCUAAUACCGGAUAACACCGAAGACCGCAUGGUCUUUGGUUGAAAGGCGGCUUCGGCUGCCACUUACGGAUGGGCCCGCGGCGCAUUAGCUAGUUGGUGAGGUAACGGCUCACCAAGGCGACGAUGCGUAGCCGGCCUGAGAGGGUGACCGGCCACACUGGGACUGAGACACGGCACAGACUCCUACGGGAGGCAGCAGGAGGGAAUCUUCCGCAAUGGACGAAAGUCUGACGGAGCGACGCCGCGGGAGCGAAGAAGGUCGUCGGAUCGUAAAGCUCUGUUGUUAGGGAAGAAGAAGCGUCGUUCGAACAGGGCGGCGCGGUGACGGUACCUAACGAGAAAGCCCCGGCUAACUACGUG
rnacentral:rRNA from 1 species